rnacentral:rRNA from 1 species
AUGGUUUUGCAGGUUCAUGUACUAAAGUGUAAUUUUUUUGAACUGCUAAAUGGUGUUCUUUUUUUUGAACUGCUAAAUGGUGCAUUUCGCCAAGCCCCCCCUCGAAAUUUCAGAGUUCCCGCUGGGCUGCCGAUUCGAACCAAACAGGAAACUUCCAGACAAAUUCAAUUCCCCAUCGCCAUCUCACAUCCCCAUUCCCGACGCCGCCGCCUCCGACGACGACUCCGGCGACGGCCGCAUUUCCGGGGAGAUAUACGCAUGGACUCUCCGACGCACAUCCCCGCCGCCGCCGGAUCCGAUUCUCCUCCGCUCCCUGAAACUUGUGACAAAGAGAAUAUCUAUCAAGACCGCGGCAUUGUCUCCGAUUGCCCGAUGCUGCACAGGGAGGGGACUGUCUCUACAAAGAGGAAAAAGAAGCCUGGCGGGUUUAACCUCAGGAAGAGCAUAGCAUGGAACCCUGCUUUCUUCACUGAAGAAGGUGUUUUAGAUAACAUGGAGCUUUCUGUGCUCAGUGGCUCACAAAUGAAGGCAAACAGGAGCCCUGGCUCAGGGGUUGGUGGUAUCGUUUCCCCAUUGUGUAGGUAUGGGAGAUCCGACAGUUCAUCCGUACUGAAGGAAGUCGUGGAGAACUCUCAUGGAAAAUUGCUUGUGAAGUAUCGAAGCGCCGAAAACAAGGGAAGGAAAUUGUUUUCUCCUGCAAAAAAUUCUGAGCGGCAUGAACAGAGAGAACUUCCGGGAAAGCAGGAUAAGAAGUCAGCACGAAGCAUUCAAAAUUCAAUACCGCGGUCACCAGCAGGAUAUGCACAGAAGAAGGUGCCCAACUCAAACACUACAGUUCAAAUGACAAGAACACCAAAAAAGUCAUUUCAACCUUCUAUUCCCACGGUCCCUAGAAGUACCUCAUCCGCAGCAAAUAUUUCCAAACCAAGCACAAAGCUACCUCCAGUUAAAGCCGAGCACCCAAAUAAAAUGGAGGCACUCCCGCUUAAAUCGAAGAUUAAGCCUACACCUUUGACUAAAUCCUCUGGAUCUACCACAGAGAAAGAUGUGGCGCCUCUUGUUACAGCCACCCAUGAACAAGGGAGUAGUUCUAGAAACUGUUCAAGUUUCUCAACAUAUUCACAAAAUAGUCCCUCCAGUUUUGUUGGUGUACCUGCAUCAACUUUUGCUAAGCCAUCAGCACUUCGCAUGCCUUCACCUUCAGUUGGUUUUUUCUCUCAGGGAAAGGCUCUUGUGUCACAUGAUGCUGCUGCUCAAGGAAAUACAUCAUCACUUGUAAAGCCUCCUAGAUAUAAGCAGCCGGAGUACCUAAAAAGCAGACUCUAUCAGGCUUCUGUGCUGAAUGGUGAUACUGCUCAAGCAAAUGGGCAGAUCUGCUUUACUAGAAAUACUUCAUCACUUGUAAAGCCUCCUAAAUAUAAGCAGUCUGAGGAUUUAAAAAGCAGACACAGUCUAACACCGCAGCUGCCAAUCAAUUGCCCUGCGGCUUCGAAGCCUCUUGUGCAUCCUAUAACCAAUGAGAACACUCUCAACACUUUGGUCUCUUCAUUACCUGUUCUAGAGCAUGCUAAUGUGUGUUCUGGGAAAGAUUCCUUGUCAAAAGGUACAAUAACAUGCUCAGCAUGUUCAGGAAAUGCAAAAAAUCAACCAACGCAGAAGGUUGAUUGCUCGUCUGCUGGAAGUGGAGAUACUACACCGUCAUCGAGUUCAGAAAAAAAUGGCGCUUCCAGAAAUGGCGCGCUAAAUGCAUAUAGCGUUUCAUCACAUGUUGAAGAAACAGGCAUUAUAAACAGAACUGGACCUAAUAAGGAUCCCCACUCUCUUAGAGCUAUUUGCUCCUCAAUCACUGAGCAUGGCGAGGAUUCCUGUUCUCAUGAACCCAUUGGCUCCUCAAUGAACCCUAUUGCUGCGAUUAGAUUGUCAUCUUCUUACAUUUCUUCUCAAGUGUGCACCCUUAAUGAUCUCAAUUGUCAAAGCAAGUCAGACAGUAGUGCUUGUUUAGCAAUUGACUUGAAAAAUUCUCUUGCUGGAGAGAAAACGCUCGCAGUUUCUUUGUCAGAAGACAACAGUUGCACUCCAGGUCCUGACUUCUUGCGUGAGUUUGAUUCCCAGAAUCAACAGAAUGCUGAAUGUUCCACUCUAAGGAAAUCAGUGGAGUCUACAACAUCUGCAGAUCAGGUGCCACAAUUUGGUAAUCCACUUGAUACAGAACCAGCUUCAUCUGACAGCACAACAGAUUUGCAUGGUUCUUUGUGUAAUGAAGCGGAGCCUAAUUCAGCAGAAGAACCAAGUACUGAUGGUGGAGCGGAGUUUGACUCAGAUAGUCCACCAAUUGGCAAUGAACUUCAGCUGUUAAUAGAGUGUGACCAUGACCAUGAUUAUAGGAGUACAGAAUCCUCCCCUAUACAGGUAGCAGCACAUAUGCCUUGUGCUGAUUUUAGUGAUUCGAAAGAAGUCUGCAAGACAGAAACACAUGAUUCAUUGGCAGUGGGAAGACGGCCUGCUUUGUUGGACGAACCCAAUACUGAAGAUGAUAUGGAUCUUGACUCAGAUAGUCCACUGGUUGGCAAGGAAGAGGUGAUAAUAGGGUGUGAGAGUGACCAUGAUUAUAGAUGUACAGAAUGUUCCCCUAUGGAACCAGCAGUACCUGUGCCUUGUAUUGAUCUUAGCGAUUUAGAAGAAGUCACACUUGACUGUAAGACAGAAACACAUGAUUCUUUGGCAGUGGAAAGACGGUCUGCUUUAUUGGAAGAACCAAAUGCUGAAGACGAUAUGGAUCUUGACACAAAUGAGUUGUCAGCUCUAGAGGAUGCAUCACCUAUAGGAAAGAACAAGGCGGCGCACAAAUCAGGCGCAAAUACCAUCCUUAAAGAUCAUCUAAAACAACUGGUACCAUUUUCGGAAGAAUGGCUUGCUGCCAUGGAGGCUUGUGGGGAGGAAGUUCUGGAACAGAAGAGUGGAGCUGUGCAAAAUUCUCCUACGGACAAAUCUACCCCAGAACCCAGUCCGUGGUCACCGGUUAAACGCAAAGUUCAAGAUGUCGGUCCAUUUGACUGUACCAAGUACUCCAAAAGCGUUCGAACAUCUGACACGCCUUAA